rnacentral:rRNA from 1 species
CACGUAGGCACCAAGCGUUGUCCGGAUUUAUUGGGCGUAAAGAGCUCGUAGGCGGUUCAGUAAGUCGGGUGUGAAAACUCUGGGCUCAACCCAGAGAGGCCACCCGAUACUGCUGUGACUUGAGUACGGUAGGGGAGUGGGGAAUUCCUGGUGUAGCGGUGAAAUGCGCAGAUAUCAGGAGGAACACCAGUGGCGAAGGCGCCACUCUGGGCCGUAACUGACGCUGAGGAGCGAAAGCGUGGGGAGCGAACAGG